UACCUUGACAAGAGGUUAAAGAGCAAUGAUCUUAACAGAUCUGUGACCACAGGAGUCCUCUGAGGUAAGAUGCCGCUUUCCCUAUAGCUGAGGAACAGGGUACAUGCAGCCAGAGUCCCUCUCUGUGGAAGCUGUUGUCAUAGACCUUUAUCUAUGGAAGGGCAGUGUGAUAGGCAACAGGCUACAUUUUUGUGUUUUUCCUAGACAAGGUUUCUCUCUGUAGACCAGGCUGACCUGGAACUCAAGAGAGAUCCACCUGCUUCUGCCUCCUGAGUGUUGGGAUUAAGGGCAUGGGCCAGCCACCACAGCCUGGCCAAGGCUUUCUUUAGCAAAGACUCAAGCCAGCCCUGACACAGACUAUAACCCCAGCUGGAGUGUGGGGAUUUUCCAGCUAGUGGGUUGGCCCUCCCCAGCUGGAAGGCCAGCCCUCACACCAGAACAGUGAGAAAUUCCUUAGGUAGCAGAAGUAGGUCUCAUGGUCAAAGCAGGGUUCCUAUCCAGUCCCCAUCUACCCGGGUCCCUGGGCUUGGGGUUAUUCCUACCAAAUUCCUAAAUUGAGCUGGGCCUUGGCCAGCACCUUUUACAUAAACAAUAAUCGACGGCAGGUAGUCCCUCCGCCUUCAUGAAUUCUCAGGGACCUGCUGUGAUUGUGGGGGGGGGGGGGGGGAGGGCGUUGGGGAAGUGGGCAGAGUGGUCUAGGGAGAACUCUGUAUCCUGGCUACCUCUCCCACCAAGUUAAUUGUCCAGAUCAAGGAAGUGGCCACCACAUGGCUUAGAGCACAGUGAUUCUUGGGAAGGAAAAUGGGGCCGAGGAAGGUGCAGGCCCAGCUGGAGCACACUAUUAAUUUCUCCCCUGUAUCCAAGCACCUCCCCUUCCAUGACACAUAUUACCGGCUCCAUUUGCCACUGUGGUAAGGACCUAAUUAACACUCCUGACCAGGUGAAUAAGUCGGCCUCUUUUAUACAUAAGGCUGCAUAGGAGAGGCCACAAGAAAGGACAUCUGAACCACUGGACUAGUUUAGAGAGGACCAAACUGGCCAGCUUCGACCCUGCCAUCACACCCCAAUCCCACGUUCAGAGCCUGGGCUUCCAUUCAAGGUCCCCACCCUGCACCCAAUUCCUCCGCAAGCCAAGGAAGCAGAAGCUGAGGCAACCGUGGUCUCUUAUAAACCAUUUAUUUCUCCCGGCUGGAAGGUGGGCAUCGCUACCGGUGGAUAAACACAGAACACUACGUGGAGCGAGGCUCAAAGAACAGCGGUGCAGGUAAGUGGGGCCAGGACUCAAGCGAAGGUGGAACCGUUCCAGCCCACGUUGGCAGCGUUCAUGUCGUAAUAGUUGAUGUAGACCCUGAGAAAAUGAAAGCCUGGCUCAGCUAAGCACGUGGUCUAGGAGAGCGCGCUGCGUGCCAGUGUCCUCUGAACGCCCCCCCCUCUUUGCCUGCUGACCUCCCAGUGCCCCUCCUCCCCCUCCUCCCCUCGUCCCCCACGCACCGGUCCGGGCUGAUGUGCAGGCGAUCGGACAGCAGGCCACACAGCAGCUUACUGUAGUUGCGGUUCUGGGCACCACCGAUCUUGCCGAUGCUGUGCAGGCUGCAGAGGGCGCAGGGAUCGUUCGUGCCGCUAAAAGUCAUGAGCUGGUCCGGGACCACGUGCACUGCGAUGUACUGGGUGGGGGGAGGGGCGGCGAGGCGGGAGGGAUACAGACACACUGUUAGACCGCCUGAAAGACUGCCUACAGGGCCACAGGUCUUCCGGAGAGCUCCAGCCGCCACCCGCCGGCACACCUUGGCUUCCAGCCCCAUCCCUCCUCACACGUCGGGCCGGCCCACCCCACCCUACUCUCUUCCUGUGUCCUCCCUGCAAACCUGUGCGGGCUUGCCGGUGGCCUGCGCCAGCUGCUGGGUGAGCUCCGACAGAAACCCCUCUGGCACGGAGGCGCGGGGAACAUUGGUGUUCACGAUGAACAUAGGCAUGGUGGCGGAGAGACUGCGAGCGUGGACCGGAGGACGGUACAAAGCGCGGUGUGACCCAAGCCAGGGACCUGAGCUACGUGACCCAGCUCAGUACCGCCCCAAGCCGGCUGCCGCUCCGCCUCCGCUGACGUCAGACUACGUCCCAAAGGGGCGGUGACUGCCCUUCAGCGCGCUGCUUCUGCAGAGGUCUUGCUGUGCUUCUGGUGCUGUAGGAAGUAUUACAUGGGCUCUUUGUUUCCUAAGAUGGAAACGGAGGAUGCUAGAUAGUGAGGACUUGACUCUAGUGAUUAGGUUUGUCGAGGCAUUCCAGGUAGAUGCUACAGAUUAACCGUAUAGUAAGAAGUUCAGGUCUGAGAGAUUUCUGUUCCAAGAAGAGGGAACUUAAGUUAUUGGUGGAACCUGUAGGUUGGCCUUAUUUCUCAUGCUAGUGGGCUAGGAUCGACCUACUUUAGUGAAUACAACUUAACCUCAAACAAUGAGCCAAAAGCGUGAUGGCUUGUACUUGGAGAAAAAACAAUCCUUCCUUGCCUUGGGAACUUUUCUCUAAGCUCAAGAAAUUAGCCAAGCCCCAUCACUUGCUUGCUUUUGCUCUCCUGUUGUACCAACAGUCAGCCCUCGAUCCCCUGCCUGGCCCAGUAUCACCUUCGUCCCACACACUUUCAACUGCGACUUUUUGUGUGUCCUGAGCCUCCUGGGACACGUGUCCACCAGGCCUAGGCUUGUGAGUGUGAAAUGGGGAAGGAGGCAGAACGGAGUCGCCAUCUAGUUACUUCCCUACAUUCCUGUUACUCCACACAGACUAUUGAAACAAUGGUUCCCAAGGAAAUGGAAUUUUCUCUGGAGUCUCCUGCUGGUGAAAGAGAAAGGCUGGAAGGCAGAGAUUUUAUGCAGCUCUGGACGCUUGUCAGUCUUGCAGAAGAGACUGAAGCUUGACAGUGCUGCUGGGGGAUCACAUCUUGAGCAGAAUCUCUUAGUUCUACCUACCUCUUGCCCUCUAUUUAAAUGUAAACUUCCUCUGGCAGGACCCUGAAGAUGAGCUUGGGGUGACAGUCACUGGACUUCCUUUAUGUUCCUCUUCCUUCCCAGGGUGGCCACGUUGAAAUAAAUCUCCCUCCUCCGCUUUCCACUGUUGUCUGUUUAGUUGGACUAGAGGAUGUCUGAACGGCCAGGACCCAGGCUCUAACCCUCCCAGUUCCGGGAGCAUUGAUGGUAAAAAUGGACAAGUCUGAGGCCAGCUACAGCCAAAGGUCUCAUUCCAGGGUUACUAUCUGGGCUCUGGUUCAGGGGCCCUUGAUCUUG
rnacentral:lncRNA from 1 species